CUAGCUUUGGAUGUAUACCUCUAUGUGACGGAAAAGUGUGUGAGUUGUGCAAUUUAUUUUGUGUUAUAUAUACACAAAGAAAAUGCAUUAUACAGUUUUGGAUAUUGCAAGAUAAUAAGCAACCUGCAAUAGAACGUAAUUGCGCGGAUUCUUCAUUGUACGCUGACGCUGCAGCUGUCCCAGGAGAUCUCGCUGGAGCCCACCACAACGUGUGCUUCAAGAUAUCAAGUUCCUUGGAAGAAAAAUUGUUUCACAAAAAAGUGUGUUUGCCUACAGAACCGUUGAAAUGGAGAUUACACUCAUGGGAUCAAGAGAAAUUCAAUGUGACAAAAGGACAAAAUUCGACAAUCUGAUUCUCUUCAACAGUACGGCCUCUUCCAGUUCUGGUGUGCGACGUCUUCUAGGAGCGCCACGGCCACGCCUGCUGACGAUGAAGGUACUCUUCCUCGAAGCCGAUUUAUCAAGAAAACUGAAUUUUGAAUGAUCUCAUUCCCAAAAACACUGCAGUUACCUGGAAAGGAGUAACAGUUCCUUUGGAAAAACCUGGAUUGAAAGAAGGUGCCUUGUUGUAUUAGUUACCGAACUGUACCAGUUAUUUGAAUUGAAGACAAGAUGUGCAACGGGUACCCCAAGUCAAAGAAAACAGGGGACGGAAGGUGGUGUUUAUGGGUUGAGAAUGACAGUAUCGGAAAGCAUAGAAACAGCUUCUGCAAAAAGGUGAAAAAUUCGGUUUUCACGGUUAUGAUGAAUUUGUGAGAGAAACUGAAAAUGUUACAGGGAGUGAAGUGAAGUGAGAAAAUAAUAUGUACCGAACGUGUACCUGAAUUUUGAGACAGCUCCACCUGAUAUUAGAUUCAUAACAGUUUGCCCGAGCCUCAGUGUUAAACUGUGUAUUCCCUAGGGACUUAGUAGUGUAAUUGAAGUUGUAAGUGUUUUGAAGUUAUGUAGAGAUUUAAUUAGUGACAGAGAAAUGACUUGCACAAGCCAUUCCUUCCUUCUUGAAAUUUUAGCAGUUACAGAAGGUAAGACAAGAUAUGAUUCUUUCAUUUCUGAAGUCGCAAACUAAAUUUACUUAAAUCCAGUGCUCAUCAUAAAUUUGAUCUGGUGUGUGUGAUUCUAUGCUCUUUAUGAUUUCUCUACAUACCUUUUAAGCGUUUGAUGUUGUCUAGUUUCGUCAUUUUACCGUAUCCAAAUUCAUUAAGGGAAGAAAGCUGCAAUAAAAAUGUGAAUCUAAGUAAUCCUAAUUUCUUAAGUCCUUUGAAAGAUGAAGUUUCACUUUAAAAACCACAUGAACCAUAUGUGAUGUCUGCUAGAUGAGAUUCACAUCAAGCCGUAUGUAGAUUUUAAGGCAGAUGAUGUUACUGGAAUUUUAGAUACUGUUGAUAUACCAUUAUUGAAAGCAUUCUUUAUUCCUAUAAAAAUGUUGUGUAUGCAUUGGCUCUGAAGAAGCUGCAAAAAGCUUGUUUAAACUAGCAGUAGGUGUAGAAGCUGUUGGGUUUCAGACUCUUUCAAUUGUUGCAGAUGAUAAUGCCAUUAAUAGGUUUGCAAAUCAAAUGCAAGCAGAUUUUGUGUACCCAUCCUGCAGAUAGUAAAAGAUCUGUUUUUUCUGCAUAACAGUGUUCAUGGUUCUAAGUGUAUGUGAGACAACUGAAUAAAUGUGAAGAAAUAUAGUCAUACAUUUUGUUUUGCUUAAAGUUCGUGACUCAAUACUGUAGCAAAGUGGUAAGUGUGUGUGUGUGUGUGUGUGUGUGUGUGUGUGUGUGUGUGUGUGUGUGUUUUUGUUUGUUUGUUGUAAUUUCAGUAUUACUAAUGAUGAACUCAAAAAUAUUGAAUUCAGUGUCCCACUCUUAACAUAUAUUGCUAGUUCCUAUAAGCUGCUGAAUCAGAGACCAGUAGCAGUUUACCUUAUUUUAAAAAAAAAUACUUAUGGCUGGCUAAUGAUGUGGGUGUGAAAAUUAUUGCCCUCAACACACUAUACCAGAAAUGUGUAAGGAAAUUUAGGACCACUGUAAAUAUGGAAUGAAAUAAGUUUUGCAAAAAGGAAAAUAAAGAUAAUUUUGUGCAGCCUCUUCAAGGAUUGAAGAAAAGGAAAUUUUAAACACUUUGUCACAAGUAAGAUUUUUUAUUUUUAUCUGUUUUAUGUGUAUUUCUUAUUACUUCCCUCCACAUAUAUCAAAUACAAACUGUUUUUGAUGCAGUGCAUUGUGUGCUCUGUGAUUAGAGUAAAAUGAAAUGCAAGUGCUGCUAAGUGUCUUGCAAAUGCUCAGGAACAAAACUCAGAAUUUUUAUGGCAUGGUCUGAAAUUUUCUUUCAGUACAUAAUAUUCACUGCCAGUUGUUACCUCUCAUGAACUCCAGGUGAGCAAGGUAAAAUGCUUGUACAUUAUAAAUGAGUGAUGCAGUACGGACUGUGAUCAGUGGCAAGUGUAAAAUCAAAUGUGUGGCACACUAUCUUGAAAAUGCUGUGAAAUGUAACACAGGUCACAGUCUGACAUUUUCUUUAUUGCUUAAUUUGUAUUGCUUGUAGUCUUAAGGUGAGUCAGCCUAUAAUAAAGUGCUUUUAUUCUUUAAGUGAAUUAUGCAGUGCACACUGCACUCAGAAACAAGUGUAAAAUAGAGUGUAAGUGUUGCAGUAUCUUGAAAAAUCUUAAGAA